GCUGAAGUGGUGGAACUGGUAUACACGCUGUCUUGAGGGGGCAGUGAGAAUAUUUCUCGUGUGGGUUCAAAUCCCGCCUUCAGCACAA
rnacentral:tRNA from 1 species